rfam:Planctomycetaceae bacterium SCGC AG-212-F19 AG-212-F19.71, whole genome shotgun sequence.
GGGCUCAUAGUCCAACGGGACGACACCAGCCUGGCGUGCUGGAGAUCCGGGUUCAACUCCCGGUGGGUCCA